UGACUUCAAUUGACUUGUUUUUAAUUAUGAACAAAAUUUUUUGUAUGUGUAUGUGCAUGAUGUGUUCGCCUGUAUUUGCAAGAACACGAUUUUUGGACUUUGUGUUAUAAUUUUAUGAAUUGACAUAUUGUGUAUUUUGUGGACCUUUUCUGGUGGUGUUGGUGGACCUUGAAUAUAUUAUAAAUACUAAAAUAAAUCCAUUAAUGACGGCACGUUUCAUACCAUCGAGUGAAUCGAUUUUUUCCUAGAGAGUUUCGCUAUUUUUAGUGGGAGAUACGAAAGAGAACUGGGAGAGUAAGAGAUCUUACAAUGAAUUGUAAUUUGAUGAUUCGAUUGCAGAAAAUUAUUUACCUUAACAGCUAUGUGUAUAUUAUUUGGAUUUUUGUUAUACCAUUUUUCUUAUAUGCAAAGCGCAACAGGUUUGAUCAAUUGAACUACUUGUCAGCUACAUUGUAUAUUAUGUUCAUUAUCAUUGAACUCUUACGACUUUACCUUGGGCAAUGCGGUAACCUUUCUUGUAAAAUAGCCGAAUUAUCAAGUUUCUUGAUGUUAAGCAUAUUCACACAGAUGCCGCUAAUUACGUAUUUUUUAUUUAAUCCAUACUUAGCAAAUACUCCUUUAGAAGUUACACUUCAUGCUUCAAUGUGGACAGCAGUAUUGCUCGAAAUAAUAUUUAGUAUUCAGUCUCUAAAACAAGCCUCAAACAUAGCAAAGAACAUAUAUUUGUCACAAUCUGAAGGCAGCCAGCGAUAUUGAAAAAAGUGUUUUAAUAAAGUUUUGAAUACAC